AAUUCGAGAUCUUCCCACGCACCUCUGUGUGUGUGUUUGUUUUGGUGUCCCUUAACACUUUCCCUGCUUCAUCACACUGCCCAGAGCUUCCCACUGGGAACAUACUCUCACCUCCUUAAUUCCCAUUUCCUUUUUCUUACCCAAACAGGAAGGAGUAGCCACUAUUCAUGCCAUUGUCAAAACCUCAUGGCAACAAAACUUCCAGGGCUGGAAUUGCAAAGAUGAUUACAAAGGGGAGCUCCACAAUCAGGUGAUCCAGCAUUGAUAAGGUGUUCCAAGAUAAUGAAUACUUCCAUAGCAACAAAAGUCUGACAAUAAACGGUUACCUUGAUUUUCACAUUUUCAAAGAAAAAUCCCUCAAUGGCAACUAGACCAGAAGUCUCAACACUGAAUAUGCAAUAAUGGCUACAAGGUGAACAGUUUUUCUAUUCCAUUUUCUUAGCAACAUCAUUGAUUGAUUUUCUUGGAAAGGAAGUUAGAUUGGAU
rnacentral:lncRNA from 1 species